rnacentral:rRNA from 1 species
GUCUAUGGCCACACCACCCUGAACGCGCCCAGUCUCAUCUGGUCUUGGAAGCUAAGCAGGGUCGGGCCUGGUCGGGACU